UACGAGGGGGGCGAGCGUUGUUCGGAAUUAUUGGGCGUAAAGGGUGCGUAGGCGGUUUGGUAAGUCUUGUGUGAAAUCUACAGGCUCAACUUGUAGUCUGCACGAGAAACUGCCGGGCUUGAGUAUGGGAGAGGUGAGUGGAAUUCCUGGUGUAGCGGUGAAAUGCGUAGAUAUCAGGAGGAACACCGGUGGCGAAAGCGGCUCACUGGACCAUAACUGACGCUGAUGCACGAAAGCUAGGGGAGCAAACAGG
rnacentral:rRNA from 1 species